rnacentral:rRNA from 1 species
UGGGGAAUAUUGGACAAUGGGCGCAAGCCUGAUCCAGCAAUGCCGCGUGGAUGAAGAAGGUUUUCGGAUUGUAAAGUCCUUUCGGCGGGGACGAUGAUGACGGUACCCGCAGAAGAAGCCCCGGCUAACUUCGUGCCAGCAGCCGCGGUAAUACGAAGGGGGCUAGCGUUGCUCGGAAUGACUGGGCGUAAAGGGCGCGUAGGCGGAUUGCUUUGUCAGACGUGAAAUUCCAGGGCUCAACCUUGGGUCUGCGUUUGAGACGGGUGAUCUUGAGUUCGGAAGAGGGUCGUGGAAUUCCCAGUGUAGAGGUGAAAUUCGUAGAUAUUGGGAAGAACACCGGUGGCGAAGGCGGCGACCUGGUCCGAGACUGACGCUGAGGCGCGAAAGCGUGGGGAGCAAACAGGAUUAGAUACCCUGGUAGUCCACGCUGUAAACGAUGUGCGCUGGAUGUUGGGGCCCCUAGGGCUUCAGUGUCGUAGCCAACGCGGUAAGCGCACCGCCUGGGGAGUACGGCCGC